CCAGUUGACCUGCAAGGGAAGGCCUAUGCAUAAGUUCAUAUAGUUUACAACCUUAAAGCUAAUAUUAAUUGCUGCUUCCAGCAAAAAAAAAAAAACUUAACACUGACAUCUGCUAAUCUCAUUCAAUGGCUUGUAGGUAAAUGAUCACAAAAGUUCUUGAAAGAUAGAAAUACGAAACAAUGGCAAGCAAUAGUAAGUGGAAUCAUAAGAUAUGCAGAUACUGCAAAUUCUUGUGUUAUCAAGAUUUAAAAGGACCCAUCGAAAAUUCUAGGCCAAUUAGUUCAUAUAUAUAAGAUAAUAAUACAGUGCAAAUGAUUCUGUGUUUCAGAGAAUAAUGCAGUUCC
rnacentral:lncRNA from 1 species